GGAAGUAAAAGUCGUCACAAGGUUUCCGUAGGUGAACCUGCGGAAGGAUCAUUAUUGUAUAACCGAGGUGCGAGGGCUGUCGCUGACCCGAAAGGUCGUGCACGCCCGAGUGCCCUCACACACAUCCAUCUCACCCCUAUGUGCACCACCGCGUGGGUCCCCCUUUGGCUUGUUCGGAGGGGGGCUUACGUUUUCACACAAACUUUGUAUGCAGUGUAGAAUGUAUUUUUUGUUUUUGCGAUCACGCAAUCAAUGCAACUUUCAACAACGGAUCUCUUGGCUCUC
rnacentral:misc_RNA from 1 species